rnacentral:rRNA from 1 species
GCUUGCUGCUUCGCUGACGAGUGGCGGACGGGUGAGUAAUGUCUGGGAAACUGCCUGAUGGAGGGGGAUAACUACUGGAAACGGUAGCUAAUACCGCAUAACGUCGCAAGACCAAAGAGGGGGACCUUCGGGCCUCUUGCCAUCGGAUGUGCCCAGAUGGGAUUAGCUAGUAGGUGGGGUAACGGCUCACCUAGGCGACGAUCCCUAGCUGGUCUGAGAGGAUGACCAGCCACACUGGAACUGAGACACGGUCCAGACUCCUACGGGAGGCAGCAGUGGGGAAUAUUGCACAAUGGGCGCAAGCCUGAUGCAGCCAUGCCGCGUGUAUGAAGAAGGCCUUCGGGUUGUAAAGUACUUUCAGCGGGGAGGAAGGGAGUAAAGUUAAUACCUUUGCUCAUUGACGUUACCCGCAGAAGAAGCACCGGCUAACUCCGUGCCAGCAGCCGCGGUAAUACGGAGGGUGCAAGCGUUAAUCGGAAUUACUGGGCGUAAAGCGCACGCAGGCGGUUUGUUAAGUCAGAUGUGAAAUCCCCGGGCUCAACCUGGGAACUGCAUCUGAUACUGGCAAGCUUGAGUCUCGUAGAGGGGGGUAGAAUUCCAUGGGUAAGCGGUGAAAGAUGACAAUGGAACUGCAUGUGUAGU